rnacentral:rRNA from 1 species
AUGGUGGAUCCUGAGAGAGGUAGAGAUACGCCCUCGACCGAGCAAGACCGGCGCCCCGGAGAGGGAGCGACAUCUAUCUCAGUGGGGGAGAACGGCGGUCCUGCGGAUUGUAUGGAGGUAGACGAUAUCAAAGCCUCUAGCGUGGAUCAGAACGAACCAAACCCAGGAAUGGAAAACAAGCCUGGCGCUGAGACAAUUGAUGUUGAGCACAGGGACGAGGAUGAUACCCAACCAGCGCAAGUCGUCGAAGAAGACAACAGCGCCCAAGCAGAUGAAGAUGGAUGGAUAAGACGUCAGAGGAACAAAAAAGGGAAACCAUGCAGAGCAGCAGAGGAUGGAAGCCUUGGCACAAUCGAGAGGGCGAUGGAUGAAGCUGUGAAGCUCGGAAAGAAAAUUGUCUUUGAACCAGCUGUGGGCAUGUCCUUCAACUCUGAGCAGGAGGCAUACGAGUUUUACAAUGCAUAUUCAUGGGAAGUCGGAUUUGGCAUUAAGCGUGGAAACAAGUACGUCAACGGCAACAAUUACAAAUCAAAACAAGAUAUAUUGUGCUCAUGCGAGGGCAAAGACAGUAAACAAAAUUCAAGAUCAUCCAGGACGCAAUGCCGGGCGAUGGUCAGGAUCCUACGGACCGAAGACGACGGUUGGUACUACGCCAUAGUUGUGUUGCAACACGACCACAGGAUGGCUGAAUCAAUAGGAGAAAGAAAAAUAUGGAAGUGCCACAACCACAUCGACUCAUCCGUGAAACAGCUAGUGAGUCACCUUCGUCAAAAUAAUGUUUCACUCACCAAGGUUUACGGCGUGAUGUCAGAUAUGCAUGGCCGGUAUCAAGAUGUCCCUUCUCGGAAGAGGUCUCUCCGAAGCAUGUGUGCAGCAAUAGCACACGAAUCUAGCCAGGACGACAUCAACAAAACUCUUGCUUUGUUUUCCAGCAUGCAAGCUGAAAACAAGGGCUUCUACUUUGCGGUGAAAACCGAUGAGGAAAGAAGAGUAUCCGGUCUGUAUUGGUGCCACCAGAAGAGCAGAGCAGAUUACACGUGCUUUGGCGACGUCGUGACCUUCGACACAACAUACAAGAGCAACCUGUAUGAGAUGCCGGUGGGUAUGUUCGUGGGGGUAAACAAUCACCAUCAAUGCUGUGUUUUUGGUUGUGUUGUUCUUCGCGAAGAAACGGUCGAAUCUUUCGAGUGGGCUUACACAACUUUCCUGUCGUCGGUGGAGAACAAAGCACCACAAACAUUUUUAACGGACCAAAGCAGGCAGAUGGAGCUUGCAAUAGCUGUUGUCAUGCCAACUACGACACACAGAUGGUGCAAGUGGCAUGUGUUCAAAAAUAUGAAGGAAAAGGUAGGCAAUUUGUACAGAAAGGGUUCGGAAUUCCGCAUCGAAUUUGAUAUGCUGAUCAAUGAGAUGAUGACGGUGGAUGAGUUCGAAAAAGAGUGGGAGACAUUAAUGUACACUUACGGUCUUAACAAGAACUCAUUCAUGAAGCAAGUCUACGAUGUUAGACAUAAAUGGGCAAAACCAUAUUUGAAGGAUAACUUCUGCGCAAAAAUGUGCAGCACUCAAAGAAGCGAGUGCAUGAACAAUGUUUUGAAAAGUUAUGUAGCAAGAUCAGCACCUCUGAAUAGUUUUGUUGUCCAAUUCAACAAAAUGUAUGCCGACAGAUGUUCCGAAGAGGACUAUGAGCACGCCCACACAAGCAAGGACAAGAUAGUCCUCAAACUCAAUCUACCAAUAGAACGCCACGCCUCGCGCGUUUACACAAGAGCAAUGUUUAAGAUUUUCUCAGAUGAGCUAUUCCAUUCGGGAGCAUACGAAGUGAAGGGCAAUCAGCUUGAUGGGAAGAUGAUGGUAGAGCAUGUCAACGCUGAGACCAGGAAACGCUGGUGCAAGGUCAACUAUGAAGUACAUGUAGACAGAGAAAGUGACACAUACACAUGCGAGUGUGGCAUGUUUCAGCAUUCUGGCAUUUUGUGUAGGCACAUUCUGAAGGUCAUGCUUCACGUGAAGCUGCACACCAUUCCAAACCAGUACAUACUGAAGAGAUGGACAAGAAAUGCACGCGACAAUCUACCCGACCAUCUCAAGUGCUACCAGGAGGACGCAAGUGUGCAAGUAUCACAGACAUUCAGACAUAAUCUCAUAUACGUGAAAGCACUUGAGCUAGUGAAGUUGGCAAACACUGCUGUCCCGACAUUUCAAUAUGCAAUCAAUAAGUUCCAUGAAAUGCAGGUAGAGCUGCUGAAGAUGAUUGCCAUUGGGGGGUACGAGAACACCACAACAAAGAUGAAGAGUUCCACUGGCACAGCGGCAGAUGGGGGGAGCUCGGACAAGACGGAUGCCAACUGCACACCUGAUGCUACACGUCACAAGGGACAGCAUGACGAUGAGCCUGCGGAAGACAUGGACCAAGACAUGUAUGAAGACGUGCUAGCUCCUGAAAAGAAAAGAUCAAAGGGAAGGCCGAAAACAAAACACAUGAAACCAGCAUCAGAGAUUGGUACAAGAUACACCAAAAGGAGCUGCUCGAUAUGCGGGUCAGAGGAUCACAACACCAACUCAUGCCCGUGCAUUGAAGGCGCCACAGGCGCCCCCCAAGGCCCAUAUGCUUCGGACGAUGAUGUAGCGGGGCCAGCGGUGGCAGCUGAAGAUAACAUCUUCACAUCAUCGGGCAGCAAUGCGUUUGGGCUAGAGGCGGAGGCAGAGGAAAACACAAUAAUCCGUUCAAAUCAGAGAAACAACAAUAACAAACCACGGUCCGCUCCCAGGAAAUGCAAGAACUGCGGGCUAACUGGGCACUAUGUGAGCACUUGUCCGACAUACAAUGGCCCCAGGAAGCCACCCAAAGAGGUCAGAUGCACAAAGUGCAAGCUUGGGGGUCACUACCACACCACUUGCGGCGGCGACACAACCUACAAGCGCAAGCAUGAUCCUUAG